UUAAAUUGAAGAGUUUGAUCAUGGCUCAGAUUGAACGCUGGCGGCAGGCCUAACACAUGCAAGUCGAACGGUAACAGGAAACAGCUUGCUGUUUCGCUGACGAGUGGCGGACGGGUGAGUAAUAUCUGGGAAACUGCC
rnacentral:rRNA from 1 species